AUAUGUUUCAACAGAAACAUCUGGAACCAAAAAAACAAAAGCUCAAAUAAACUAGCUAGAUCCAAGAACUAAGAACAGAGAAAAAAUCUCUUCUCACAGCAACUCAGUCUCCUAGCUUAGCAAUCAGGUUUCCUUCAUCAUGUUGGCUUUGCUGCUUGUUCCCCUCUUCAGGGAUAAUUGUGCGGAGUUGAUCCAUAUCUGGCCAUCCAUAUGAGAAUUUUCCAACAACAGCAUGUUGUAACUUCUCAAUCACGUUCAUCCGGGACACCUCUUCCUCUGUCCAUUUGAGAUAAGGCUUACCAUGAAGAUAAGAGAUUUUCUUCAUUUCAAUUGGUGGAACUGUGUAUUUCUGAUUUUGUGUAGUAGCAUUCAAAGUAGUAGGUUUCAAAAGUUCAGCAUACUGUAAUUUGUUCUCUCUCGUUGUAAUAUCCCUUCCUCUUGAGGAAUUGUUGUAGUAUCUUGUUGGUCAGCCAUUCCGGAGGACUGACCAACGGCCAUGGUGGCCAUUGAUGACAAGCUUGAUCUACGUAUUUAGGGUUUGCAUGAAAAUAGGAGGUGAGAGAAGAUAGCACUCUCUUAAUAUUUAUUGCCAGAGUUGUGGAGCUUCAUGUCCACCAAGUGUUUGAUAAAAUAUUUCAGUAUGUUUCAGUAUAUUUCUGUGUAUUUCUGUGUAUCAACAAACAGUAUAUCUAAUUUUUCAG